AGAUGGAUCUCAAAAAAGAAAUCAAAACUGGCUCAGAUUUCCCAAGGAUUUCCAUAUCUAUAUACUAGAAGAUAAUUCAGACUUAUGCAUCUGAGAAGGAUCUAAGGAAACCAGAGGCUGAAGAUGUGGAGUACAGGUCUCUUUCCUGCCACCUGUGAGGAAGGCGACUUGCUUCCCCUUCACUUUCCACCACAAUUAUGAUGAAUCCAUUUGGAGAGGAAGCCUCAGGACUUCCAAGGACACGAACUUGUCAGGAUGCUCCCAGAACUGAUCAACAAAAAAGGAAAGAUCAAAAGAAAGAGAGAGAGAAAGAAAAGGAAGGAUGGAAGGAAGGAAGGAAGGAAGGAAAGAAGGAAGGAAGGAAGCAAACUGCGGAGAAACUCACAAUCCAGACAAGACGUCCGCUCAAUUUUGGAUUGUAUCAUUCCAGAAUUUUCCACAACAUACUUAAUUAGCCUCUAAUUUUUUUAAUAAAACAUUUCUAACAUUGUGCUAUUUUAAACCAUAAACAUUCUUAUAUCUUGAAG
rnacentral:lncRNA from 1 species